CGUUUGGUGACUGGGUACAUAAAUAUGACAACACCCUUAUCAGGACGCUUACUGGUGACGAGAAGACCCAAGGGAGAACUCUCACACUAGACACGGUGUCGUAUCAGGACAUCGGUACCUACACAUGUCAGGUACAGAACUCCAUCACGGGAAGGAAUGGUCAGCUGACACAGACAGGAACAGCUGUCUUUGGUGUUAAAGGAAGUCCGAUACUCAUUGAAGGAGGUUCGAUGGAUUUCCCCAACAAAGGUCAGCCAUAUCGGAAAUCACUUUUAUUCAUUAGCCAUCCUGCACCAACAGAAAUGUUUAUCAGUAAGGAGGAACGCUUGGCAUCUACACAGAACCUCACGAUCACUUUUACCUCAGAAACAGUGUUGGACGCCUUCUACGGGAAAAUGAUAUCACGACCCGGAUACAAAGUGAAUUUAUAUUUCCCUUCUUUUCAAAUCUACCAGAUUGGAGAUUACAAGCUGAUUGUCAUCAAUGAUGUUUUCCCGGAACUCGUAUUUAAAUUCUCGUUUAAAAUAGUAGUUUCAGAUGGAACCAGUUAUCCGUAUUAUAAACAGAUGUACACAACAUUCGUUGCUUUGAUCAGUGUGACUGUGCUCAUCUUUUUCAUCCAUUGGGAUCGGAGUAUUUAUCACGAGAUUUGGACACCUACCCUUUAUACGUUCGAGGAAACAACAGACAACAACUAAGCCCUUCGAAAACAUAGGAGAUUCCGAGCACGUCUCAGCGACAACACCACCAAGGCCGGGAAGAGGUUCGUAUGAAGAGUUGGAUAUAACAAACAUUGCACCACCAAACAUGUACGAACAAGUCGGACAAGAACAUGGUGUCUCCGAGAACAUAGAAGUAAGCAACUAUGAGAUGUUGGAAGGUGUAAAUGGUCCAAAUGUCUAUGAGGAACUGAAGGAUCGG